CGGAGAUAAGAACACAUUCGUCGUGUCAACAAAAUCACCGUGACACGCGAGGACUCUCGAAAUUUCUUCGAACGUAACACGCGCGCGUUCUGCCGAACAAAUAUCAAAGAAGACAAAUAAAUAAGUGAAAAGAAAAAGAAAGAGAAACAGAGAGGAACGAUAUUAAAGUCGAGAACGCGCAUCCCUUCGGGUUUUAAAAAUAGAUUCGGAUGGAAGCGUGAUAUUUUUAGCGUGUUUCAGAUCGCGUACAAUAUUCUUUGCGGUAUAGAGAAGUUCGUCUUCUUCGAAAUCGCGUUUUGUCCCUGUCUUCUUCCGUGGAACACAAUUCUCUGCAACAAAAGAAAAACAAAACGGACGCUUAGAGACAGAGGCAGAGUCUUCGUUCUUAUGUAUCUAGAUCGUGUGGCAUUCAACCGAGAGAAACUAUACACAACACUGUGUACUUAGGUGUAUACGUGUCUGUCGUGUACUCGAUGUUGUAUACGUGUAUAUACGUGUAAAUAAAUAAAGAAUGAUUUACGUUCGAUUUACUCGACGCGCGUAACGCGAUCCACUAUUUCGGACAGAAAAUAGUUCGAUACGCGGGGCGGUCGUUAUUUCGUGCGACAGUAAAUCGUCUCGUCGACACAGCGCAGUGUGUGCGACCGUGUUGCUGAAAAGGAAACUUCGAAUAACAUCGGAAACGAUCAAACCGGAGACACAGUUGGAAAAGUGAGUGCGGCAAACUUACAUCGGUCCUAUCAACUAAUCGCCACUCGUUAUGUCGUCGAUUAGUUGACGAGGACUUUCUGCUGACGGUUAACGGUCGAACACAGGCGGGGCGGGAAGGGGGAAAAAGGAACAACGAUUUAUCGAGGUAAAAGUAAGUUUAACGACGACCAAAUUGAUCCCGUUCGUUCUGAGUUUUGCGCCGGGUGAAAACGAGUGUUACCAAAGUUAUCGCGACUCCUUUUUUCCCCGACGGUUUUUCUCGUUUUGCGUAGCGACACGUUAACGCUAAACACGUGAGUAUCACGCGUUCGCGAACGAGUACGCGCUUACGUGCAACGUACCGGUGACUUUCAACGACGCGAGCCGCACGUUUCCGUGAUUCGAGAUCGGUAACAUACAAGAAGGGGCAGAGAUGCUCGGACGUUUUAUUGAAAAUUUCAAGUUCUCCAAAAGCAUCGAUUUUAUAUUUAAGCAUCCAGUUUUGAACGUUAUAUUAUUCUGUUGAAAUUCGAAUUAACAAGAUUACCGAAUCACGCUGAUGAUUCGGUAAAAUCGCGUUAAGAGCACAUCAAAUCCGAAGCCUAAUAACGUACCAUGUAAUGCAGGAGGUACGGUUUUGUUUACUUUCACGGUCUAACUAUACAUUUCUGUCCCUCAUUCUAUGUACACAGUGAGCGACGCGCCUAUAUACAAUCACAUCCUCCCUCCCCUCUUCCUUUCCUGGCUUAUUCAGUGAGAUUUUCCCUGUUGUUUAACCGGCACAGAACGAUUAGUUUCAAAAAGGCAAGAAAGAGUUGGCUUCCAUGUAUAAUGCAACUGUAUUUCGAGUAACGAUACACUUUCAAUAUAGCUGGCGGUAAGUAUUUUAUAUUCUAAUGUGCUUAUCUUAUGCGCAAAUAUAACAAAAUAAAAGUUGCAAACAAUUCUAUGGAGGAGACACUUGGACGAAGCAAAGUCUUUAACCGAACACCCGGCCAAAGAAGUCGCCUUUAUCGCGGUGCAGGAAAAGGUGGCACACGUCACAGUGGAAAGGCAUAAUUUGUGUUUCAAAUGCACUUGCAUCCUUUUCUAAUAUUGCGGUCACAUUGCGGUGUUGUGUCUAAUUUAAAAUUGCAUUAGAACGCAUAACUUGAAAGCGUCGUGGAAAUUUUCAAUAAUUAAAAGACCAACGGAUGAACCAUUGAAAACGCAUGAAAUAAUGUUUCUUACCUAAACACGCAGCGGCUCAUUAUUAACGGCAUCAACGUUUCAGGCGCACAGACUUCCGAUCCUCACGGGAACGUGAAAACGCACGUAAAAAAAUACACAAAUCUCUUGAAUUUUUGUAACACGCGCCUGGCGUUACAAAGUUACAUAAAAUUGGACGAUCAAAGGUCACAAAUCACAUAAAAUUGCAAGACUUAAUUGUAUCUUGGAACAUAAACAUAUACAAAUGAAUAUUAAUACAUGAUAUCGUAAGUAAACGUGAUAUUGUUAAAUAAACAAUUUAAUGAAACAAGUUCCCCGAUAGUAAUGUUUUUCAACUGAUCAUAAAUUCAACGUUUAUCAAGAAAAUAAAAUCAUACCUGUUGAAUCAUAAAUGCAGCAAAAUAACAUACCUGUAUCCAUAUUCUCGAAGAAGAAUUCCUAGGAUGGGAGGAAGGAAUAUCGAACCUAGUGCACUACCAGAUAUGCAGAGACCAUUUGCAAGCCCUCGUAGUCGUACAAAAUAAGAAGUUACAAUGUACACGGUUGGCGGGAAAGCUAAUCCUGCUCCUGUUCCUACCAGGACUCCAUAACUAAAAAUAAAACAAGGAGAUUAAAUUAUAUCUUUUUGUCUGAAGAUUAUAAAUAUUAAAUAAUAUUUGAUUUAUCAAGCAAUAUAUUAAAGCUUCUUUCCUUUUUCAUGUAAUUACCUAAUGCACAAAAAGGCCACAGAAUUCGCAAAGUAACUUAACAUCAUUCCCACAGCUGCAAAUGUUCCGCCAAGAAGUGUUACAGUUCGAUAGGAAUAUUUCACUGACAGCACACUGGAAAGUGGACCUACAACAAGAAUCGCAUAAAUUUAUCUUUCAGUUCAAAGUAAACGAAAUUCAAUGAUACUUCUGGAAAAUUAGUUACCCAGGGAACUGUACAGAAAAUAACACAGAGCUGGUAUCCAAGCAGCUGCAGCAGGUGACGCGUCGAAAACCUCAAGGAAUUCAACAAACAAGACACCAAAAGAUUUCACUGUCCCUGGGAUGAGAAGAUUGACCAUGACAGACGCUAAAAGUACAAGCCAUCCCCAUCCUCCAUCUGGUGGGACUAACUCUUCCUCGG